rnacentral:rRNA from 1 species
UGCAGGCGUAACUUGCUGGAAACCCCCCCCGG